GCUACCAGGAGGCGUUACGAGUUAUGUUGAUGUGAACAAGGAUGGGACUCUAUGUAUAGGAGUUGGGUGGUAUUCAGAUGAAGGAGUGAACCUUGUUAUGGAAAGAGAUUAUGAAGCGGAUGGCAAACUGAAAGAGGUUCGAUCGAAGUCGGAGAUGAAGAGAAGAUGGACUAAUCCACCACCCAUGUAAAUUCUCUUCACCCCUUUUCUUUCUUUUAAGUUUUGAAUCCAUGUUGACAUAAAUGGGAUUCAAAUUUUAUGCAUUGACAACCAAAACAAAAAAGUUACUUAUUCCUUAAAAAAAAUAUGAACAAGGAAAUAAACAGAAAUGAAAUGGAACAUAA
rnacentral:misc_RNA from 1 species